ensembl:lncRNA
UAUCUGUGCAGUGGAUUUGUCAUUCAUUUUGCGUAUAAUGUGAGUUUGUGUCAUCCUAAAGUAUUUCUGUUUUCUCUUCCUGUAUCUCUGCCACUCUCUACAGAAGCAAACUAUUGAAAAGGGGAGGGAGUGUGUCCUCAGGGCACUACCUUUUUACCUGAAUGAAGACCCAAGCAUCCUCUUCAAAGAAUAAUUGCUACAGCUACAGCUGUUCAGAGGGAGCUGGAACAAAUUACCCUUGCUAUCUUCACCAUCGAAAAAGCUGAUGUCAGCACUCCUCCAGCCGAUGUGGGUAUAACCAUCUAGGGUGUUCUGCAUGACCUGGAAGACAUGGCCUCUGCAUGUGCACUCUUAAUGGGUGGGAUAUAUGCACUGAAUCUCAGUUAACCUCGAGACUGAAAGCUUUCUUUGAAGUACUUCAGAAGCUCUUCCUUCAUCUGUAUGUCAGCAGACUCUUGACCAAGAAAUCCCACCUCUCCUUCUGGCUACAGAGCACUUACUUACCAAGCCCAUGAAAUCGAAUGCAGAUCUUCCUGAUGUGAGAUUUACAUGAAUCUAAGGUUGCAGCCACUUGGCCCCACCCCAUUGUUGUGACAGCCCUGAUUGUCCUUGUACACUGCAUCUGAGCAGGGAACAGUCUCAACCUCAUGCUGCCCUCUCCCAUUCUCCUAAACCUGUGGAUACAAAUACAGAUGUCCUUAAUGUUCAGUGGUGCGUGUUCUUCUAAUGGCCGCCUUCCCACUGGAGGUUUUGAUCCACAGCAAUUUAAAAGGAGGACAGAACAAAACGGACAUUGGCGCAGAGUGAAGAACUGCCCUAGGACACUAUGACAGCCAUAUAUAUGGCAGUAAGGAAGAGGUUUCCCAAUGUGUCCAGAAGGGCUUUGAAGAUUGCAGUGAAAGCUGGGGGAACUGAGACUGCUGGAAAAGGAAAAGAAAUUACAUUUUAAGUAUGUUGACUUAUGUUCAUACAAUCACACACACAUAUACACAUACAUAUAUAUAUACAGUGGAACCCCGACUUACGAAUACCCCGUUUAACGAAAAAUUCAAGUUACAAAGGCACUGAACGGCAAUAUUUCUGCCCUUGUUAUGGCAA